rnacentral:lncRNA from 1 species
CACAAACAUAGGAUGAAGACGUGGCAGAGAUUCUCUUCAGCUCCUUCACGAGGAACCAGGGAGAUGGCAGGGCUGGUUCAGAUGGGCCUUCAGGAGCAGGGAUGGGAUUAUUUGCAUCUUUGCUGGAAAGAGCCUUCACACCAACAUGAAACUUCAAGGACGCUAGAACGUCAGCGCCUGCCUGAGCGCCCCCAUCCUUCAGUGUGUCUGUGGACAGGGCUUGCGGUUCUAUGAAGAUAUGGCAGAAAGUAUUUUGGAGGAGAAAAGCAAUCCAGAUGUGUCACCUGGCUCCCAGCUACGUUUUUCCAGCAGACACCUACAACUGGAAACUCAGCAGGACUUGGACUCCAGAAUCCAAAUGAACUCUUACUUAACUCCUCCUCCACCAAUUCUCUCUGUGCCUCACCCACCACAGAGCUGGCUGGGCAGACGCCCUCUUCCAGGCACCAAGGAGAAAGGGCUGUGGCUACUCUGUCCACCACCCAGGAACAGGCUUCUCCCCAGACAUUUGCAGGGGAAGAAAUCUCUGCUCCCAUAUCUUCCUGCCCUGCUCGUGAUUUAAAUAUAAGAACGAAGGUGUUUGCAACACUCACUUGCCUUCUCCGAACAACCAGAGCUUCUGACCGUGGAACAGGCUAUUUAUUCCCCAAAGCUGAGGAUUCCUUGUCUCUAGAAACCACAGAAUUUGCUUACUAGGAAAAUAUUGUUCCUUUAUUCCAGUUGUUUCAUUGUAAAAUGAAGCAGCUAAGGAACAAAGAGGAGGCCACACAGAGAAUUAGUGGUAAAGCUAGAGAGAGGAAGCCCGUUCCUGGCUCCAGUCUGCCCUCCACACCAUUCGGCUGGUCCCCACUGAGAGAAGCUGCCGAGUAUCUCGUCUGGAAGGCCUCCCAGGCUCCAGGAACUAGCUUUUUCACCAGUUCUGUUUUUGCUGACUUGUUCCAUUUUUGUUCUAAAUAAGGAAUUUCACAUUUCUACCCAGUUUUGAAUCUCAAAUAUGUACUCUGACAAUAUAGAAACUUUUCUAACACAUAGUAGCAUAUCAGCCAAAUUUCCCCUUUUACUCAUUAAUUCACCAAAUGGUUAUUCAACACCUACUGUGAGCUGGGCCAUGUGUGGUGGGAAUGCAAGGGUAGAUACAACCAAGUCUGUGUCCGCAAGAGCUCCUGGUGUCCCGUAGUGCAGCAGACAGAGGCACGGACAGGUGAUGCCUGCCUUGCAGGCCACAGUGCCAACACGGGUUGGCUUGGAGAUGUCCUUCCCUCUGCAGUGUUUACAGGGUAAGAAUAUCUGCUACUUUGUCUUCUUGGCAAAACAAUUUAAUACUUACUUUAUUGUAUUCCUACCCCAAGGAAACAAAAUAUUAAGCUGAUUAUAAAAACUCCAUGUGUUAAAGUCUUUUGUGCAAUCCUUGCUCCUAGCCGCCCCUUUCGAUGUGUCACGUUUGGCAAUUGUUCACCCUUCUGAGCCUCUGCUGGAUGGGAUAAUUAGCAGAACACUAGCAAAUUAUCUUAUUAUUGUUGGCUAAACAUGCUCUUAUUGGGCACCUGCCGUACAUUCAAUGAGAACAUAUACAAAGAUGAGUACAAUACAAUUUUACAGUACUUUACAGCUUACAGUAAAGUUGGUGAGAGAAUUUUAAGCAAAGUAGAAUUUUGAAAAGCAAUGUCUAACUCUCCCAACCAGGAGCCCUACGAAAAUAUCUGGGCUAGCAAUUCCCCACCCCCUUAAAAAUUUGUCCAGGCCAGAAGCCAAGGGAGAGGCUGGGCUGCCUCCCAGCCUUUGUGUAAAUGAUAAACCAGAAAGGACCAGCUGAGGCUGUCUGAGGCAAUCCUCCUGCGAGUGACCCAGGCCCAGGGCACAGGCCAGAGGGAGGGCGUACCUGGGGCAGUUUGGGAACACAGGCGCUGCCCAGACUCUCUCGUCUCUGCUGAGGAGUGGUGGCAUUUGGUCAUGUCAGCAGCUUAGGAGACCUCACAACUGCUCCUGGACUAGCAGAGUUUCCAUUCCCUUCCAGAACUGUCUGCAGGUCCUGCUGCCAUGGCCCUCUUCACUGGAUGCUGGCUCUUCAACCACAUAUGUAAACUCAGGGUAAAUCUUUCUCCCUUCAUCUGGCUGUGAAGGAAUUCUGACAGAAGCGUACCUCUCGGACAGGGUCCAUCUCAGCUCUAACAUGCCUGAAAGCAGUGAACCGCUUAAACAGAGACUUCCUUCAAAAACACUGAAUAAAGAAAAUCCCUGGACUUAAUAAAAAUUGCUGCCAUUCGAAAACAAAGAGACACGAGGUGCUGGUUCAUGUCCUUCAUCAGGCAGAUGCCAAGAUAGGAUUAGCUGUGCAGAUGUCAUGGGGAAACAUCUGUGAAAGACAAAGGGGAGGGAGCUGGGAAGGCAUGGGGGAGAAAGGAGGAUGGGCAGGAAGUCUGGGACUGCUGCACAGGCCAUGGAAGGUUCUGGAGCCCAAGUCACCCCUUCGUGGCGUCCUGUGUGUUGCAGGAGUGACCUGCGUUAGUGUCCCCCCAGCUGAGUCUUGGGCAGGAGCAUCUCCUGUGAAGUGUGGCCCACGUGCACAUGGUGGUCCAAGAAGGGCACCACUGGGGCUGUCACUCACCUCUGCUACCCCAGCUGGCACUUCGUGGCUGCUGGCUUUGCACUGCACGGAUCCACUUCUCCACUCAGGCCUGGCGAGCAGCUCCUCUGGGAUUCCCACAGGCCUCUCUUCCAG